rnacentral:lncRNA from 1 species
GGGCAAAGCCACGCCCAAAAAUAACCGCCCGUAGACCGGGGCGCCAAGUUCGUCCGCCGGACUCGGAAUGCCGCGAGACUUUGCGAAGGGCCUCCGUGUGCCAAAAAUAGACCGCGGGCAAAGCCGCGGCCAAAAAUAACCGCCCGAAGGCUGGGGCACCAAGUUCAUCCAGCGGAAAAAGGGCACAAAAAUGGGUGGGCUAUAGACUUGGGGGGUGGGACUGGCCAACUUCGUCCGCCGGACUCGGAACGCUGCGAGACUUUACGAGGGGCCUCCGUGUGCCAAAACUAGGCCGUGGGCAAAGCCGGGCCCAAAAAUAACCGCCCGAAGGCCGGGGCGGCAAGUUCGUCCACUGGAAAAAGGCCACAAAAACGGGUGGGCAAUAGCCUUGGGGGGUGGGGCUGGCCAACUUUGUCCGCUGGACUCGGAAUACCGCGAGACUUUGCGAGGGGCCUUCGUGUGCCAAAAAUAGGCCACGGGCAAAGCCACGCCCAAAAAUAACCGCCCGAAGACCGGGGCGCCAAGUUCGUCCGCCGGACUCGGAAUGCCGCGAGACAUUGCGAGGGGCCUCCGUUAGCCAAAAAUAGGCCGCGGGCACAGCUUCACCGAAAAAUAAGCGACCGAAGGCCGGGGCGCCAAGUUUGUCCAGCGGAAAAAGGCCAAAAAAACGGGUGGGCUAAAGCCUUGGGGGGUGGGGCUGGCCAAGUUCGUCCGCCGGACUCGGAAUGGCGCGAGACUUUAUGAGGGGCCUCCGUGUGGCAAAAAUAUGCCACGGGCAGAGCCGCGCCCAAAAAUAACCACCCGAAGGCCGGGGCACCAAGUUCGUCCUGCGGAAAAAGGCCACAAAAAUGGGUGGGCUAUAGCCUUGGGGGGUGGGGCUGGCCAACUUUGUCCGCUGGACUCGGAAUACCGCAAGACUUUGUGAGGGGCCUCUGUGUGCCAAAAAUAGGCCGCGGGCAAACCCACGCCCAAAAAUAACCGCCCGUAGACCGGGGCGCCAAGUUCGUCCGCCGGACUCGGAAUGCCGCGAGACUUUGCGAAGGGCCUCCGUGUGCCAAAAAUAGA